rnacentral:rRNA from 1 species
CUUGCCUGCGGUACUCUGCGUAUUGCGGUGUAUGUGUUGAAACCUAUUCGUGCGUAGGACGGUCAUUAGGUUAUACGAAGCGGCGGGCGCAUACAUGGUGUGCAGCGUGUGCUACAACUGACCUGUCUCGGAGGCGUACGGUCGGUGCGUGUGGUACGGGUGCUCAGUGUAUGUCAGACGUGUCGGCGGUGCUAAGGCUGUAUCGGCGGCUACGACGACCUUUUCUCCUACUGGGGUAGGGUGGGUAGACCGAGAGAGAGUGUAGAGUGGGUGGGUGGUGUAGAGAGAGAAGAACCUUAUUACCGCCGACAUCGUAGAAAGUGACGGAACGGAGGAGGUAGUGAGGAGAGGGAAGAAGGAGGUAGAAGGAGGAGAUGCAGGAGGGGAGGGACGGUGCUUUGAGAGGGGGAGAGGGCGGAGGGAGAAGAUUGUUAAGAGGGACAGCGGCGUCCAAAACGGUGGUCCUGAGGUACUCCUCUAACGCCGGCGCCCCACAGGUCGGUCCCACUCGUGUUGUUGUUGUGGCCGUCACGGCGCGACCCGGUACAUCCCUCUCGGAUAAGCGUGGCACUGUCUACCUCAUCAAAGGUGACUACAGGGAGGAGGAAAGGAGCUAAAUUAACAGUCUACGUAACUAGUUGUCUUAGCCACACUCUGAUAAUUCUUUUGCUUGGGCCGACUUAUAUACAUAGAGUCAACCUUCCACGGAGAGACGGUCUAGUCCUUCUUACGGCCGUCGACCUUAAGAGUCAAUCUUUUCCUAGUUUAUAAUCUCUGGAUAAGACGUGUUGAGGUUGCUCUUGAUGGUACCACAACAAAAACACGUCUUUAUUCUCAAGAGCCUUACCUUAUUUUGAAACGUUCCUAAAAAAUAUAGUUAUUUCUCUUAAAAACCUCUGUUCUCAGUGGACUCCCCCCGUGGACCAACCCGUGUUGUGUGAUCCCGCGCGGACGGGGGGGGUCCGCGCGGGUCUUUUUUAGUCCCUCUUUCUUAAUAGCACUAGGUACUCUACCUCGGCGGCAGUGGAGGAUAAGAAGUAGCCCUCCGGUCUAGACCUCAGGCAAACCCCGAGGCUUCUCCCCCUAGAAGUAAGAAGCAGUAGUGGUUGGGAAAACGUAGCGGUUAAGGUACUACGAGGAUGGCCCUCACACCAACUUAGCUGUUGAGUUGACGAUUAUGAACGUUUUUAAGAAACCGAGGGGAACACAGCUUAGAUAUUUAAACCCAACUUAUGAGAUGGGAGCUUUUAACAACGCUAGGGGAUAUGAACACGCAAUAGUUCUGGAAAAAGACCGCGGAAACGGCCCCUCGUAUCGAUAUAAACAACUCAGCGAAACCUAAUAAUAGUUAAAUUGUGAUACUUCUUAGACUUCCUACGAUUCUGAUUCUAAAUGGGGAGAUUCUGCUCCCCUCCAUUCCUUGACGGUAGGUCAAGACGAAAUCUAAGUGGAAGACAAUAUUCAUUUGAACGUUGUGGUGGUGUACGAUAAUUAGGACUAUACAGUGUUCAAUAACUACUACGAUGAAGAUAAUACUUACUACGAAUGCUACUACGAUCAUGGAACGAACUACUAUUACUACACGGUGAACCACUAAAAAAACUACUUUUUUAACGAUCUCAUUAAGUUGUACUACAACAACUUAGACUACUACUCGAACUUUGACUUUUAGAACUUUGUGGACGAUCUUGAUAGGAAGGAUCUAUACGUAACGGAUUCCAUGGCCUUCCAAUACAAUAUUUACUCCUCUGUUGAUCUGUAUAAGAACGUACAUUCCUAUCUCUACUAGAUCUCUUUAAUAAUACCUGAUUGGCUACACAGAUCCCUAAAGGAUCUAUCAACACUAUCAACACAAAAGUCCCUUACUUGACAACCCGUUCGACUUCUUAAUAACUUAUUGUAUAACUUUUUAAUACUACUAACCUGAGAAGGACUUGGUGGUGGAUUUGGGUGAGGCUUAUUCUCCCCAUAUAAUAUAGAGUCAGGACUUCUAUACGUUCUCCGUUUCUUUAGAUACUUCCUUUUUCGAGUAGUUUUAACGGAUCAACCGUACGUACUAUGAUCGAUACUAUCGGGGAAUGAUAGUCGGAUCGUUUCUUUCCACAUGUCUAGUAAACACGCAGCCAAACACUCAAAAGUAGGCAAACAAGCUCUUCGCCCCUCUUCAAAGUUUGUAAAGCCGGCGCUCCACGCCGGUGACCGCAUCCACUCCCUCAGGACCUGAUUCCCCAGGAGCCCGCAGGCCGGACAAUAGAUACCCGACCUGACUACCCGACACUUCUGUACUUCUAGCUUCUGAUGUGGCACAGGCCUAACCUGAGAUGAACCGCACCUUCAGUUCGAACCGCUGGCUUCUAAGGAAGAAUACAUUGGCUGAGGUACAUUUGGGAUCUAGGGGAGCUACAGAUAUAUUUGACAUCCCCCAUCAGGCCUUUCCUAUUGUGUAUAUGAGUAAUGGUAUAAGUAUCCGAUCUGAAGAUCCCAAAUCGGUAAUGCUAGAGCACCAUCUAGUUGAGAACAUUGUGAGUAUAAGUAGUUCUAGUUACUUCGUCCUUCAUCCCAUAAUGGAGGUAUCUCUCCCGGGCUUGGACCCAUUUGUAGCAC